rnacentral:rRNA from 1 species
CAGUCGCCGCGGGAAAACGUAGGUGGCAAGCGUUGUCCGGAAUUAUUGGGCGUAAAGCGCGCGCAGGUGGUUUAAUAAGUCUGAUGUGAAAGCCCACGGCUCAACCGUGGAGGGUCAUAGGAAACUGUUAAACUUGAGUGCAGGAGAGGAAAGUGGAAUUCCUAGUGUAGCGGUGAAAUGCGUAGAUAUUAGGAGGAAUACCAGUGGCGAAGGCGACUUUCUGGACUGCAACUGACACUGAGGCACGAAAGCGUAGGGAGCAAACAGGAUUAGAUACCCCAGUAGUCCCUGUCUCUUAUAC